rnacentral:rRNA from 1 species
CGGCUCACAUGCAGUCGACGGUAACAGGAAGCAGCUUGCUCUUCGCUGACGAGUGGCGGACGGGUGAGUAAUGUCUGGGAAACUGCCUGAUGGAGGGGGAUAACUACUGGAAACGGUAGCUAAUACCGCAUAACGUCGCAAGACCAAAGAGGGGGACCUUCGGGCCUCUUGCCAUCGGAUGUGCCCAGAUGGGAUUAGCUAGUAGGUGGGGUAACGGCUCACCUAGGCGACGAUCCCUAGCUGGUCUGAGAGGAUGACCAGCCACACUGGAACUGAGACACGGUCCAGACUCCUACGGGAGGCAGCAGUGGGGAAUAUUGCACAAUGGGCGCAAGCCUGAUGCAGCCAUGCCGCGUGUAUGAAGAAGGCCUUCGGGUUGUAAAGUACUUUCAGCGGGGAGGAAGGGAGUAAAGUUAAUACCUUUGCUCAUUGACGUUACCCGCAGAAGAAGCACCGGCUAACUCCGUGCCAGCAGCCGCGGUAAUACGGAGGGUGCAAGCGUUAAUCGGAAUUACUGGGCGUAAAGCGCACGCAGGCGGUUUGUUAAGUCAGAUGUGAAAUCCCCGGGCUCAACCUGGGAACUGCAUCUGAUACUGGCAAGCUUGAGUCUCGUAGAGGGGGGUAGAAUUCCAGGUGUAGCGGUGAAAUGCGUAUAGAUCUGGGGAAUACCGGUGGCGAAGGCGGCCCCCUGGACUAAUACUGACGCUCAUGUGCGAAAGCGUGGGGAGCAAACAUGAUUAUAUACCCUGGUAUUCCACGCCGUAAACAAUGUCUACUUGGAUGUUGGGCCCUUGAGCUUGGCUUCCGGACUUACGCUUUUAUCGACCGCCUGGAGAUUAGGCCGUGGGUUAAAACUCAGUUUGAUUGUGUGUGCCCACCGAGUCGGUGUACAGUGUGAGUCUGAUACACCCUUUUUCUGUCUAAUUAGUGUUGA